AUACAUAUGUCUUAAAUUUAUAUAAAUAUAAUAUAAAAAAAAGUGAUAAUAGAUAUAAUUAAUAUAAUUAGAGUAGUUGAGUAUAGUAGUUGUAGGUAAAAUUUAAAAUUAUUAUUAUUAAUCUAAUUUCUCUAAUAUUUAAACUUUGAAAAUAAGAUAAAUUGAAAACUAGGAUUAGAUACCCUAUUAUUCUUUAUUUUAAAUUUUUUUUAUUUGAGUAGUGUAAAUAGUGACACACUAACUUAUAUUUGAAACUUAAAAAGCUUGGCGGUGUUAUAUAUCCAUUCAGGGGAGCUUGUUUAUUAAUUUGAUAAUCCCCAAUUAACUCUUACUUUUUUUUGAAUAUAUUUAUUAACAGUUUGUAUAUUGCUGUCAUCAGUUUAUUUCGUAAGAAUUAUUUAAAAAACUUGAAAGUAGAAUUUACUAAU
rnacentral:rRNA from 1 species